rnacentral:rRNA from 1 species
ACUGCAUUUUUAACUGCCGAGCUAGAGUAUGUCAGAGGGGGGUAGAAUUCCACGUGUAGCAGUGAAAUGCGUAGAUAUGUGGAGGAAUACCGAUGGCGAAGGCAGCCCCCUGGGAUAAUACUGACGCUCAGACACGAAAGCGUGGGGAGCAAACAGGAUUAGAUACCCUGGUAGUCCACGCCCU